AAAAUUGCUAUUUUGGCCCUGGCCGGGUAGCUCAGUUAGUUACAGCAUCAUCCUGAUACGCCUAGGUUCAGGGUUUUAUCCCUGCUCAGGGUGCACGUAAGAAUCACCCAAUGAAUGCAUCAAUAAGUGGAACAACAAAUCAAUGUUUC